GCAGGCUGAAGAAGCAGAGAGAGAGAGGAGAGGACCCUGCCAUUCAUCUUCCCAUCUCCACUGCCUUCGGUUGCCCACUCUGUCCUUCAACUACAUUUGGAAAUGCAAUUUGAGGCUGAGAGGACCCUGGGAGGGCUAUGAAGCACAAAUUAAAACCAAGACAGUUGUGCCACCACCCCGUUUCUAGCCUCCUGUGACAACUCAGAUGAAGAAGGGAGUGUGUGUGGCAUUGAGGGAGGGACAACUCUCAUUGUGAGAAAAGGAAGCAGUUUUGGCCCUUUAGUCAAAGGUCACUGGGAUUUGGGUGGGGGUGGAGUGGGGUGGAUCUGAGUGGAAGAAAGAGCAAAAAGGGAGUGAGGAGGUCCUCAUGGGUAGCAUUUGCUCUCUUCCCGGAUGGAUGGCAGGCCCUGGGGAUUCCCCUUGGAGCGUCCCCUGGAUCCCGUCGGUCUAUAAGCCACAUGAUGAAGAUGAGACUGAUCCUAAGCCCUGGAAGUUAUCAGCCCAGGUAUUCCCUGCCUCUCACCUCUUGGACCCAGCACAUUUGGGAAACUGAGAUCCCAUGCCCUGGAAUGAAAGAAACGGAUCUAUAAUCAUGUUUCCGGACCGAGAAGCCAUGUGCCUCAUUCUGUCCUAUCCAACAUUGCCAUCAGUGGUUUGGAGGAAGACACAGUCAGGAAACAGUCAAGGGAUAGUGGGUGCAGUGAUCAUCUGCUGGAUCCCGGGCUGCCUCGCCCUCUCCACUAUGCUUCUCCUGCAGGUCUCCCAAGAGUUCUCAUUGGUCUCUGGGAGACUUUACCACCAGCCUAGUCUCUGGUACUCACUGCACACAGCUCCCCUUGGCUUUUAUUAUACUAUCAAGGUUUGGAUGAUCCCAGAUCCAUUUCCUCUUGGUUCAUCUUAGACUGUUUAGACUGGGAAAGAAAAAAAGAGCUUGUAUGCUGGGCAAACUAAUUUGUGACUGUGUGUGUGUUUACACACACAUAGGUAUUCUGAAAAGUAUUUUUUGUGUAUAUUUAAAUAUAAUAAAGAUAUUUUAGGUUGGG